rnacentral:rRNA from 1 species
UGUUACAAUGGCAGGUACAGAGGGGUGCUACCGGGUGACCGGAUGCCGAUCUCGAAAACCUGUCCCAGUUCGGACUGGAGUCUGCAACCCGACUCCACGAAGUUGGAUUCGCUAGUAAUCGCGCAUCAGCCAUGGCGCGGUGAAUACGUUCCCGGGCCUUGUACACACCGCCCGUCAAGCCAUGGGAGCCGGGGGCGCCUGAAGUCCGGGACCGCGAGGACCGGCCUAGGGCGAAACUGGUGACUGGGGCUAAGUCGUAACAAGGUAUC